rnacentral:lncRNA from 1 species
UUUUUUUUUUUUCUUUCAUUUUUUGGUCUAUGUUUCCAUCUAUCCAACAAUGGUUCAUUUACCUUGAUUAGCAGAGGAAAUGGUGUCACAUUUUUCAAUAGGGACUAGUGAUUUUUAAACUAUUUAGGCCAAAAGCUGCAUAAAUCAUCACUACCAUGCAAAAAAUAACCAGGAAUCUGGAAUUAAAAAUAUGUGUUUGGCAUCUAACUAGUUAUUUUAUCAGUACAAGAACCUAAUGUUGAAUAUUAAUGCCAGAGACUACCUAGUUCUAUGUUUCCUACUUUGAUACCAUGGCUAUCAUCCCUAAAGUUAAAAAACAAAAGGUCCUUUUUAUAGGACCUAAAAGGUCUAUAAAAAAGCCACUGUACCACCAGCUGUGAUAUCAGAUGGAAUAUUCCACUCCAUUAUCAUUGCUUGCCUCAUAAUGGCCACUUAUAGAUAUAACCAGAAUUGGCUGAAGUUGGCAAUGUUUUCUUAAGUACCUAUAUGUUAUUUCUUUUUAAAAAGUUAACUGUUAAUAGGUUGGCUGUGUGCGUCUGUGUGUGUGUACAUGCACUCGUGCAGAGACGGUGGGGGUGGUGUCACAUGCGGAGAACCAAAAUUCAUCUUUGCAGUUAAGAUAUAGGUGUGGUACUGUUUAUGUUCUGGAGGUGAGGGCAGAACUCCAUAACAUUCUCACCUACAGUCUUCACAACCAUAGCGACCCUGUAGUAUGAGAAGAUGCACCCCAAGCACAAAGCCCUAAUUUACAAGCCACACAAUUCCCUCUGUCAAAGCGGGUCGAGGGCAUAAUCAUCAGGCUUCGUACAGUGCCUGUGCACUUGCGCACACUGGUGUGAAGAGCGGCUGCCUGUGAAAUGUUUAUUCCUUUCCAUGUGCAUUAUCUCUGGCUCCAUCACUUACCACGGCUUGACGGAUUUAACAUUUUCCGGAGACAUAAAGGGAAAGACUGAAAAUAUUAAGGACUGGGAAAGCAAAAUCCAUUUUCAGUAGAAAAAUAAACGUGAAAAAAUGAAUGUAGGAAAGGGAAGACAUUUUAAAACAUUGCUUCCUUAUCAGAUGAAAAAGAUGGAAAGAGAAAGCAGUGGCCAUUUAUCUAACUUUACCAUUCUCAUCACCAGCAUGUCCCAGAAUCCCACUUCCAGGCUGAUCAUUUCAUGCUCCAAUCACUAACCCCAUGAGGCAGACUCUUUUCCUGCUUUUCUAGAGCUCCUCGCUUGCCCUCAACCACAAGCAUUAAUGGGCAGCUUCCCUGACUAUGAACUCUGCACAAGUCUCAGCAUUUAUGUAAUUCCAAACCGGCUGGCUCAGACUCAGGCAGCGUGAUGUUUCCUCUUCAUUUCUAAUAACUUUGACCUUGGAAGAGAACAGACAGUGCUGCCUCCUCAGUGCAGGAGAAAAUUAUGUAGAAUAUUGUAACCAUAUAAAAAAGGACAGGGUGUGUUUCUUUUCUUUAUUUUAGGGGAAAUGAGGUCGAGUUUAUGAUAGUAUUAUCUUUGGUGGUGUCAUCUGUAUGAGGUGGAGGGAAAGAGAAAAGGAGCAAGACAGAAAUCCAUGUGGGGGAGGUGGCACACAAUGCCUUCUUGGGGGUGGUUGAAAACUACUACUGAGCACGAUUUCUAAUGUCCUGCCCCUUCUCCUCCUCACCUUCUGCUUCUGUUUCCCUCUGUGCAUGGAUCCCCCAAAGAAAAGUCAGACGAAAGGAGGCAUGUUUCAAUGUGGGCAAUACAGUACAUUAGUUGGAGAAACAGUAGAACUGUCACUGAGCCUGUGCCCUCCCCACCAUGACCAUUACAAUCACUGAAUUAAAACACAUGUUCACUGGUGCACGUGGGAUUACUCUCACAUUGCUAAUUCCACACUGGGGAUCUAUAGAGUAAAGACUUGUGGAAUUUCUAACUCUUGGAACUUUAAAAAGCUAAUUGCUACUCUCCAUUUUGUUGUUCUCUCUCUCACAAAGUCUGGAGGUUUUUUUGAUGAGACCCUAAAAAUACUGAAAGUUUCAAUUUGCCAACUUCCCCAUAGCAGGUACCAGCUGAAUUUUUCAAGCCACUCUGAUCUCUUGGGUCUUCAGCACAACAUUAUUCAUUUUCUCAGUGUAAGGCAGUGAGAAAUUGAUUUUGCUUUCAAAUCACCUGGUAGAGUAUUUUUUCAUAAGAGGACCUCAAACAAGAACUGGGCUCUUGGAUUAACCACCCUAGUAUUUAAGGCAUGCCAAGACCAAGAAGGGGCAAACAGUAGUGCAAUUCAUUUGAGAUAAAUGAAGUGGAGUUAAGUUCAAUUUUCUAUAAAUGUUUAGGCCAUUUCACCCAUAGUAAAAUGCUUUUCCAGUCUUGAAUCCCAUGGGUUUAUUAGGCUGGCUUGAAGUGGUUUACUCUAAAAUACAGUGCUUGCUUAGAGAUGGUAACUAAACUCAUGGAACCCUGAGGUUUCUUGUUUGUUUAUCUCCUUUGUAAAAUUCUAUGAAAGAAACAGUCAGUAGCAUCUAUAGCAUCUAAAAGAAGGCCUAACACAAAAGAGAACACACUAAUUUAUAAAAGACAGCAACAAACCAAGACAGGUAUUUCUCUGAGAUACAAAUAAAUACUUCUUAAAAAUUGAGGGUAGGGGUUUGCACUGUCAAAUGUUUGAAAAUCACUGUGCAUGUUGUAUACCAUUUUUUUGAUAUUCACAAUGAACCAUAACAUAUAAAAGGCUCUGAAAAGUCCCACUUUCCAAAAACUUCUUUAAUUUUUUUAUAUUUUUAUUAGAGUUGAUUUACAAUAUUGUGCCAAUUUCUGCUACAGUAAAGUGACUCAGUCAUAUAUAUGUAUAUAUACACACACACAUAUCCAUAUACAUACACACACACACACUUGAUCUUUUUUUAUAUUCUUUUCCAUCUUGGUCUAUUCCAGGAGACUGGAUAUAUCUCCCUGUGCUAUACAGUAUAGAACCUUGCUGUUUAAUUUUAUUAACUUAAUUAAAAAAUAAUUCCUACCUAUAUUUAACUUAGAAUAGACUUUUUCCCAGGAAAGUAGAAUAUCCACAAAUAUUUAUAGGAUGCCCUAGUUUGUCACAACUCACUUAGGGAAAUCGUCAGUUAUGUCAAAAGCCAAGUGAUACAGCAAAGGUUGCCAAAGACCUACUGACUCUGUGAUCAGUUUCUCCUACCCUUCUACUCUGUUCCUUUUAUAUAUGCCGUUUUCCAACUGCAGGUCCAGGAAGACCAUCUAUUUGACUAUUUAUUUUUUUUUAAUUUUUAUUUAUUUAUUUAUUUAUUGUCUUUUUGUCUUUCCUAGGGCCACUCCCGCGGCAUACGGAGGUUCCCAGGCUAGGGGGUGUGUCUUGAAUGUUUGUAUGAGAUAGGAAUGUGGCUUCAUCUGGGGGGGAAUCCAUUUUACUAACAUUAUAUAUUAAAAUAUCUGCAAUAAAAUACUUUUCAAUUAAAAAAAAAGAUGUGUAGCUUAAAGCUAAACUUGAACUAAAAAACUAUACAAGGCAGCUAGCUGUAUGAACUAGUUACUUGCCUCAUUUCUCUCUUUGGAUUUCU